rnacentral:rRNA from 1 species
GAUGAACGCUGGCUACAGGCUUAACACAUGCAAGUUGAGGGGAAACGACGGGGAAGCUUGCUUCCCCGGGCGUCGACCGGCGCACGGGUGAGUAACGCGUAUCCAACCUGCCUCUGACUGAGGGAUAACCCGUCGAAAGUCGGCCUAAUACCUCAUGGUAUCGUCUGCGGGCAUCCAACGACGAUUAAAGAUUUCAUCGGUCAGGGAUGGGGAUGCGUCUGAUUAGCUUGUUGGCGGGGUAACGGCCCACCAAGGCUACGAUCAGUAGGGGUUCUGAGAGGAAGGUCCCCCACAUUGGAACUGAGACACGGUCCAAACUCCUACGGGAGGCAGCAGUGAGGAAUAUUGGGCAAUGGGCGAGAGCCUGGACCAGCCAAGUAGCGUGCAGGAAGACGGCCCUAUGGGUUGUAAACUGCUUUUAUGCGGGGAUAAAGUGAGGGACGGGUCCCUCAUUGCAGGUACCGCAUGAAUAAGGACCGGCUAAUUCCGUG